AUGGAGCCAAUGCAAGGAAGAGUGCAGAUGUGGAUGCUCCUAUGGCUCGCCUUCUGCUUGCUCGAGCAUUCGCAUUCGCUGGUGUUCCCGUUCCCCAUCCCGUUCUUUGCCCCUUCCUACACCAACCAGCAAGACGUUGAUGCUGUGAACGAGCUGUACGCAUCACUGGGCUCGCCGGACCUCCGUGGCUGGGCUGCUUCGGGAGGAGACCCUUGCGAGGAGGCGUGGCAAGGGGUGCAGUGCCUCGGCCCCAACAUAACUGAAAUAGUACUCAAAGGCGUGCGUCUAGAAGGGAAGCUGAGCGAGGCACUCGGAAAGCUCACUGCUAUUACAAGAUUGGACCUGUCAUCAAACAACCUCGGCGGUGAGCUGCCGCAGUCAAUGGCAACGCUCAAAUCCCUUUCGGCACUGCAUGUGCAGAACAACAGGCUAACCGGGACACUCGAUGUGCUGCGUGAUCUUCCCCUGAAAGACCUGAAUGUGGAGAACAAUCAGUUCGCAGGAUCAAUCCCAGAGAAGAUGCUCAACAUCCCAAAAUUUCUAAGAAACGGCAACCAUUUCACCAUUCCGAUCCCUGGUUCCUCUCCGACUCCGGCAACGUCGUCUCCUUCUCCAGCUGCAGAUCCUCACAUUACUGUAAUUCCCGCAGUUACUCUACAGGGCACUACACACGGUGGUGGUCUCCGGAGGCACGCCAACAAGGUGUCUCCGGCAAAGGCUGCCGGAUUCAGCAUUCUUGCUGCCAGUUUAUUAACCAUUGCCGUCGUUGUGACCAUGUUCGUAACCUCGAGACGGCGGCAGGAGAUGUCCACUCGGGAAGGGCACCUGAGGGCAAUUGUGAGGAGCGUGGCAAUCUGGACAAGGAAGCCUCCUAAGCUAGGUGCACCUGCCUACCCUGACAAACAACACAGUACAGUUGCUGCAAAUGACAUUGUGGGGAACACUCCGGGAGAUUGCACAAAGGUGGCGGGUUUAUCGGCACAUACACCUCUCAAGAACUACAACAUGUCAAGUAUUGUUUCAGAUAAGAAUGUUCAGUGGGGCUCAGAAGAAAGCAAACCCUCGAGGGUCUCCUUCAAUUUCUUCACUGUUGCAUCUCUGCAACAGUGCACCAACAACUUCAGCGAUGAGAACUUUCUGCGAGAAACUCGGUUUGGCAAAAUCUAUCUAGCAGAGCGCCCAGAAUGCAAGUUUGUGGUGCUGAAGCUUUGCCACACGGCUACGAAAAUGGCUACUGACGAGUUUCUGGAGAAUGUUCGGACCAUCGCCGACCUUCGACACCCCAACAUAGAAGAGCUUGUGGGUUGCUGCGUGGAGCACGGACAGAGGCUGCUCGUGUACAAACAUUUCAGCGAACACACAUUGGACGACAUGAUCCAUCGCGGCAGCAGCGACGCUGCCGAUCCCGGCAACAAGUUCCUGUGGGAAGCUCGGAUCGCCGUGGCCCUCGAGGCCGCCAAGGCUCUCGAGUACCUCCAUGACGGGGGCGACGGCCGGGAGGGACAUGUCGCCGUUGUCCACGGGCAUUUCAGGCCGGAGCAUGUCCUUGUCGAUGGCGAGGCGCGGGUGCGCGUGUCCGGGUGCGGCCUCGCCCCGUUCGCGCCACCUUCAGUAUCAGGAGCUACUACGGACUGGCACGACGACGCACUGAGCUACCUCGGCCCGCCGGAAGAAGCCACAACGACGGAGGCGGCCACAGGCCGCGACGUGUACUGCUUCGGUGUGGUGAUGCUGCAGCUCCUGACGGGGCGCAGGCCCUACGACAAUGCGCGGCCGCGAGGGGAGAGGCUGCUGGUGCCGUGGGCUGGCGCGCGGCUGCACGACCUCAGCGCUCUGCGCCGGAUGGCCGACCCGCGCCUCCGGGGCACGCCGGUGCCGGUCAGGUCCCUGUCACGGUUCGCGGACAUCAUCAGCAGAUGCGUGCAGCGGGAGCCCGAGUUCCGGCCGGCGAUGGCGGAGCUGGUGCAGGACCUGAUGGGCGCCACGGAAGAGGCGCGCAUGGCGGAUGACUGCGGAGAGCUGUCGCCGGUGCCGGCAGAGUACGAACUUGUGUGA
rnacentral:rRNA from 1 species